rnacentral:rRNA from 1 species
GAUGAACGCUGGCGGCGUGCUUAACACAUGCAAGUCGAACGGAAAGGCCCAAGCUUGCUUGGGUACUCGAGUGGCGAACGGGUGAGUAACACGUGGGUGAUCUGCCCUGCACUUCGGGAUAAGCCUGGGAAACUGGGUCUAAUACCGGAUAGGACCACAUUUUGGAUGGUGUGGUGGAAAGUUUUUCGGUGUGGGAUGAGCUCGCGGCCUAUCAGCUUGUUGGUGGGGUAAUGGCCUACCAAGGCGUCGACGGGUAGCCGGCCUGAGAGGGUGUACGGCCACAUUGGGACUGAGAUACGGCCCAGACUCCUACGGGAGGCAGCAGUGGGGAAUAUUGCACAAUGGGCGCAAGCCUGAUGCAGCGACGCCGCGUGGGGGAUGACGGCCUUCGGGUUGUAAACUCCUUUCGCUAGGGACGAAGCGUUAUGUGUCGGUACCUGGAGAAGAAGCACCGGCUAACUACGUG